GUGCCAGCAGCCGCGGUAAUACGGAGGGUGCAAGCGUUAUCCGGAUUCACUGGGUUUAAAGGGUGCGUAGGUGGAGUGGUAAGUCAGUGGUGAAAUCUCCAAGCUUAACUUGGAAACUGCCGUUGAUACUAUCAUUCUUGAAUAUCGUGGAGGUAAGCGGAAUAUGUCAUGUAGCGGUGAAAUGCUUAGAUAUGACAUAGAACACCGAUUGCGAAGGCAGCUUGCUACACGAUCAUUGACACUGAGGCACGAAAGCGUGGGGAUCAAACAGGAUUAGAUACCCGGGUAGUCC
rnacentral:rRNA from 1 species